GGGGGGGGGGGCUUAACCAUGCAAGUCGAACGAUGACCCCGGUGCUUGCACCGGGUGAUUAGUGGCGAACGGGUGAGUAACACGUGAGUAACCUGCCCCCGACUCUGGGAUAAGCCCGGGAAACUGGGUCUAAUACCGGAUAUUCACUUCCUUCCGCAUGGGAGGUGGUGGAAAGAUUUUAUCGGUGGGGGAUGGACUCGCGGCCUAUCAGCUUGUUGGUGGGGUAAUGGCCCACCAAGGCGACGACGGGUAGCCGGCCUGAGAGGGUGACCGGCCACACUGGGACUGAGACACGGCCCAGACUCCUACGGGAGGCAGCAGUGGGGAAUAUUGCACAAUGGGCGAAAGCCUGAUGCAGCGACGCCGCGUGAGGGAUGACGGCCUUCGGGUUGUAAACCUCUUUCAGUAGGGAAGAAGCGAAAGUGACGGUACCUGCAGAAGAAGCGCCGGCUAACUACGUGCCAGCAGCCGCGGUAAUACGUAGGGCGCAAGCGUUAUCCGGAAUUAUUGGGCGUAAAGAGCUCGUAGGCGGUUUGUCGCGUCUGCCGUGAAAGUCCGGGGCUCAACCCCGGAUCUGCGGUGGGUACGGGCAGACUAGAGUGAUGUAGGGGAGACUGGAAUUCCUGGUGUAGCGGUGAAAUGCGCAGAUAUCAGGAGGAACACCGAUGGCGAAGGCAGGUCUCUGGGCAUUAACUGACGCUGAGGAGCGAAAGCAUGGGGAGCGAACAGGAUUAGAUACCCUGGUAGUCCAUGCCGUAAACGUUGGGCACUAGAUGUGGGGGACAUUCCACGUUUUCCGC
rnacentral:rRNA from 1 species